ACGUGUCCAUAGCGAGAGGUUCCACUUUGCAUUAUCAGCUUCUUAUCAUGCUUCAGUGCCCUGUGAGUGUUUAUAGCCCUGUGACUUUAACACUUCAUGACUGAGAGCUGCUGCUCAGCGACUUCACCCACAGAAACCAUGAGUUUGAUCAGCGUCUUCAUCUGCACACUGCUCCUCUGUGCUCAAGGAUCCCAAAGUCAGGCCAUUGUGACUCAGAGUCCUGCAGUGAAAUCUGUUUCUCCAGGAGACACAAUCACCAUCAGCUGUAAAACUAAUCUUGCUGUUGAUAAUGACUGUGGCAGUAGUUAUGACUGUUUGUCCUGGUUUCAGCAGAAACAUGGAGAAGCUCCUAAAAACCUGAUCUAUAGGGCUAGUACUAGAGCAUCAGGUAUUCCAGAUCGAUUCAGUGGCAGUGGAUCUGGAACUGAUUUCACUCUGACCAUCAGUGGAGUCCAGACUGAAGAUACUGGAGAUUAUUACUGUCUAACUGAUCAUUACAACACAUUCAAAACUUCUUCGUUAACACAGUGUUAGAGCGUCGUACAAAAACCUCAGUGAGUGAGACUGCUGCAGCUGCAGGUGCUGAGGAGGACGAUGUGAUGCAGCACAAUGACACGGUUUAACAAACACAAUACACUUACUCAGUAGUUAAGUCCAGCUUUCUCACCUCUGAGCUUCAUUUACAUAUUUGACAGAGCUGCCAUGAGGCCAAAACCCUGAUCAGAGGUCAGUAGUUGGUCAUUUACCACUUUUACCAGUGUGGUGUUAGAGUGUGGUGAGGAAUAAAUCAGAAGAUGUUAUGUCUCUUACUCUGAUACAGAUCUGCACCUAGAUGUUCAGCUUUUUUACAUUAGACCUGAGUUUGAAAGCUGAUACUAAACUUCAUAGCACAUGACCUGGUAAUCCAGCUGUGAAUUAAAACACCUUCACAACACUCCAUUCCCUGUCGUCCCUUUGAUGAUGUCAGAGCAGUGUAUCAUAUACUGUGACAUGAAUACCUGCAAUUAUCUUGUACAACCACUACCAUGAGUCCCUCUGUUCAAAUCCCACAGCAAAACUCAGUCACAUGUCAUUUCCUCUCUAAUGUCCAGGCCUUGGUGCUUUAGAGCUCCUACCUUGCAGUACUUCAUGGCAGAGUCAUGUGUUGACAGAAGACAUUACUUAAUUAAAGUAAUUAUAAAACAGUACAUACAAGAAGUUUAUUCAUGAACCUUCAUCAGAUCUUCCACAUUUCCAGCAUCUGCACAUUUGUACUGAAGCAGAAUGGUGCAUUGUAUCUAUGAAUCAAAGAGCAUUGUUUGGGUCUUGUUGCUUUAAACUCCUCCACUUGAGGCAGGAGCUCUCCACCAACCUCAAGGGGGCAAUCCACCCUUUUCCGGCUGAGAACCAUGGCCUCAGACUUGGAGGUGCUGAUUCUCAUCCCCGCCGCUUC